rnacentral:snRNA from 1 species
CAAUAUGAGGCCAGUCUGGUUAUGACAUCUGUUAUCUUACUAAUUGCCAGCGUUUCCUGGGCUGGGCUGGUUGGUUUGGUGGAAGUUCCCUUUUUUCUGUCCCACUCCACAGUGUCCCUCCAGAAGCUGAGGGCCAGGUCCAAGGGGUCCACAUUUCCUAUUGAAGGAGGGCUGAUCUUCAGUCAAGGGUGAACAAGUAGCUGCACCCCCUUGCUUGAACUCUCUAACAACCUCUUAGAGUUUAUUUCGUGCCCCCUCCCACUUUCAAGACUUACUCCAACGGCGCCUCUGUCUGGAGUGGCCUCCCCUCUGUG